AUGAAGUAUUUAAAGUUUUUUUUUUACAUCUACUAUAUUAUUUAUGUUACAAAGUUCAUGGUUAUUUAUUGUGUUCGUGUCUUCUUUAUACGUCUUAUUACGGCUGUUAUUGUUGUAAUUGUUGUAGCUGCUGUAGUUGUUGUUGUUAUUGUUGUAGUUGUUAUUGUUGUAGUUGUUAUUGUUGUAGUUGUUAUUGUUGUAGUUGUUGUUAUUGUUGUUGUUAUUGUUGUUGUUGCUGUUGUAGUUGUUAUUGUUGUUGUUGUUGUAGUUGUUAUUGUUGUAGUUGUAGUUGUUGUUGUUAUUGUUGUAGUUGUUGCUAUAAUUGUUAUAAUUUCCGUUGUUAUAAUUUCCGUUGUUAUAACUUCCAUUGUUAUAACUUCCGUUGUUAUGGUUCACAUUGUUGUAGUUGUUGUUAUUAUUGUAGCAUACAGCAUUUAUAUUGUUAUAAUUAUAAUUUUUAUUUACAUCCAAUAUAGUAUCAUGAUUCUCUUCCUCUUCAUCUUCAUCUUCAUCACUGUAACUUACUCUAUGGUUUCCUUUUCGUCUUCUAUUACUAUCACAACUAUUACUACAUACACUACUAUUUGUACUUAUACUAUUACGCAUAUUACCUCUAUACCCAACAGGUUUAUUAUUAGCAUUAUUGUUAUUAUUCAAAACUUUAUUUUGUUCAUUUUUUUUUCAUAUUUAUUGAUAGAAGGUUGUCUAUGUGCAUACUCAUCAUAUCCAUCUCCAUGCGCAUACUCUCUACUAUGUUUAUUACCUACAUUUUCUUUAAUUAUAUUUAAUAAUUCAUUUUUAUUUUCAUUAUUAAUACAUUGUUUAUCAUAUGAUGAUGAAGAUGAAGACCCUACCAUAUUAUUUGUAUUUGUAUUGUUAUUUGUAUUGUUAUUUGUAUUUGUAUUUGUAUUUGUAUUGUUAUUUGUAUUUGUAUUGUUAUUUGUAUUUGUAUUGUUAUUUGUAUUUGUAUUGUUAUUUGCAAUUUUAUUUGUAUUUGUAUUUGCAAUUUUAUUAUUAUAAUUAAAUGAGUUAUAACCAUCUGUUCUUUCUAUAUUCAUAUGGUUUCGAUUAUGAAUAAAAUUAUUGCUAUUACUACCA
rnacentral:lncRNA from 1 species